rnacentral:rRNA from 1 species
AGUGAACGCUGGCGGUAGGCCUAACACAUGCAAGCCGAACGGCAGCACAGUAAUAGCUUGCUCGUACGGGUGGCGAGUGGCGGACGGGUGAGGAAUACAUCGGAAUCUACUUUUUCGUGGGGGAUAACGUAGGGAAACUUACGCUAAUACCGCAUACGACCUACGGGUGAAAGCAGGGGAUCUUCGGACCUUGCGCGAUUGAAUGAGCCGAUGUCGGAUUAGCUAGUUGGCGGGGUAAAGGCCCACCAAGGCGACGAUCCGUAGCUGGUCUGAGAGGAUGAGCAGCCACACUGGAACUGAGACACGGUCCAGACUCCUACGGGAGGGAGCAGUGGGGAAUAUUGGACAAUGGGCGCAAGCCUGAUCCAGCCAUACCGCGUGGGUGAAGAAGGCCUUCGGGUUGUAAAGCCCUUUUGUUGGGAAAGACAAGCAGCAGGUUAAUACCCCGCUGUUCUGACGGUACCCAAAGAAUAAGCACCGGCUAACUUCGUG